AUUGAACGCUGGCGGCAGGCUUAACACAUGCAAGUCGAGCGGAGAUGAGGUGCUUGCACCUUAUCUUAGCGGCGGACGGGUGAGUAAUGCUUAGGAAUCUGCCUAUUAGUGGGGGACAACAUUCUGAAAGGAAUGCUAAUACCGCAUACGCCCUACGGGGGAAAGCAGGGGAUCUUCGGACCUUGCGCUAAUAGCUGAGCCUAAGUCGGAUUAGCUAGUUGGUGGGGUAAAGGCAUACCAAGGCGACGUUCUGUAGCGGGUCUGAGAGGAUGAUCCGCAACACUGGGACUGAGACACGGCCCAGACUCCUACGGGAGGCAGCAGUGGGGAAUAUUGGACAAUGGGCGGAAGCCUGAUCCAGCCAUGCCGCGUGUGUGAAGAAGGCCUUUUGGUUGUAAAGCACUUUAAGCGAGGAGGAGGCUACCUGGAUUAAUACUCUAGGAUAGUGGACGUUACUCGCAGAAUAAGCACCGGCUAACUCUGUGCCAGCCGCCGCCGUAAGAC
rnacentral:rRNA from 1 species